rnacentral:rRNA from 2 species
UGGGGAAUUUUGGACAAUGGGCGAAAGCCUGAUCCAGCAAUGCCGCGUGUGUGAAGAAGGCCUUCGGGUUGUAAAGCACUUUUGUCCGGAAAGAAAUGGCUCUGGUUAAUACCUGGGGUCGAUGACGGUACCGGAAGAAUAAGGACCGGCUAACUACGUGCCAGCAGCCGCGGUAAUACGUAGGGUCCAAGCGUUAAUCGGAAUUACUGGGCGUAAAGCGUGCGCAGGCGGUUGUGCAAGACCGAUGUGAAAUCCCCGAGCUUAACUUGGGAAUUGCAUUGGUGACUGCACGGCUAGAGUGUGUCAGAGGGGGGUAGAAUUCCACGUGUAGCGGUGAAAUGCGUAGAGAUGUGGAGGAAUACCGAUGGCGAAGGCAGCCCCCUGGGAUAACACUGACGCUCAUGCACGAAAGCGUGGGGAGCAAACAGG